UGCCGCUUGCGAGGGCGUAUGGUGGAUGCCUUGGCAGACAGUACCGAUGAAGGACGUUUGAGGAUGCGAUAAUCCUAGGGGAGCCUCCAACAUGGCUUUGAUCCUAGGGUCUCCGAAUGGGGGAACCCGCCGGCCGUCAUGGGCCGGCACCGCCUAUGGGCGGGGGGUACGCAGGGAAGUGAAACAUCUCAGUACCUGCAGGAAGGGAUACUCCGUGAGUAGUGGCGAGCGAAAGCGGAUCAGACCAAACCGGUUGCGCGUGAUACCCGUCGGGGGUUGCGUUGCCGGUGUUGUGGGAUCACGUGUCCCGGUUCCGACGGGCCGGGCGGGAGUCAUAAAACGGCUUGCCAGGGGAACAGGCUUGAAGGCCUGGCCGUAGAGGGUGCCAGCCCCGUACCUGGACGUGAGCCGUCUUCCGAUCGUGUUGUCCCAAGUAGCGCGGGCCUCGUGGAAUCCCGCGUGAAUCAGCCCAGACCGUUGGGUAAGUCUAAGCAUACCUGUCUGACCGAUAGCGUACCAGUACCGUGAGGGAAAGGUGAAAAGCACCCCGGGAGGGGAGUGAAACAGUUCCUGAAACCGUGCGCCCACAAACCGUCGGAGCCUCCUUGUGGGGUGACGGCGUGCCUAUCGAAAAAUGAGUCUGCGAGUCAGUGGCGGGUGGCGAGCAUAAGCCGUGUGGCGUAUGCGUAGCGAAAGCGAGUCUUAAAAGGCGUUUUUAGUCGCUUGUCCUGGACCCGAAGCGGGAUGAUCUAGCCCUGGGCAGGUUGAAGCGCGGGUAAGACCGCGUGGAGGACCGAACCCACCUGGGUUGAAAACCGGGGGGAUGACCUGGGGCUAGGGGUGAAAGGCCAAUCAAAUUCCGUGAUAGCUGGUUCUCUCCGAAAUGCAUUUAGGUGCAGCGUCGGUCGAUUGCGUCGCGGGGGUAGAGCUACCGGAUGCUUGCGGGCCCUUGUUGGGUACCAACAGCAGCCGAACUCCGAAUACCGUUGACGUGUAUUCCGGCAGUGAGUCGGCGGGGGAUAAGCUCCGUCGUCGAGAGGGAGACAGCCCAGACCGUCGUCUAAGGUCCCGAAGCGUGUGCUAAGUGGGAAAGGAUGUGGAGUCGCAUAGACAGCCAGGAGGUUGGCUCAGAAGCAGCCAUCCUUGAAAGAGUGCGUAACAGCUCACUGGUCUAGUGGUUCCGCGCCGACAAUGUAGCGGGGCUCAAGCACACCACCGAAGACGCGGCAGCAAUCUUCAUGGUUGCUGGGUAGGAGAGCGUCCUGCGAGGGGCGAAGCGGCCGGGUAACCGUGCCGUGGACUUCGUGGGAGUGAGAAUGCAGACAUGAGUAGCGAGAGACGGGUGAGGAUCCCGUCCGCUGGAUGACCAAGGGUUCCGGGGCCACGUUCGUCGUCCCCGGGUGAGUCGGGUCCUAAGGCGAGGCCGACAGGCGUAGUCGAAUGGAUGAACGGGUGGAUAUUCCCGUACCGACCAUGGACCGGCAAAACCGAGACGGUGAGUACUAACCUCCGCCUCGUGGUGGUUCCUUCCUUCGGGUUGGUUCCGCCGCGUGGUGUUGGGAGCGUAGCCGUAGUAGGUCAGCGCAGGGGUGACACGGAAUGGGAGCCGGCCGCGGAGGUGGUUUUCCGUGGUCAAGCACGCAGCCAGUCAUGUAGGCAAAUCCGCAUGGCGCGCAUGGCGAGGUGUGAUGAUGGGAGCCGUUAUGGCUCGAUAUCCGGUUGUCCAGGCCGUCGAGAAAAGCCUCGGCGUGAGGGCCAUGGCCGCCCGUACCCCAAACCGACACUGGUGGUCAGGUAGAGAAUACCAAGGCGAUCGAGCGAAUCCUGGUCAAGGAACUCGGCAAAUCACUCCCGUGCCUUCGGUAUAAGGGAGACCCGCUGGGGUGAACCGGCUAGCCCGGGGAGCUUUGGUGGGUGGCACAGACCAGGGGGUAGCGACUGUUUACCAAAAACACAGGUGCAUGCGAAGGCGAAAGCCGCUGUAUAUGCACUGACGCCUGCCCGGUGCCGGAAGGUUAAGAGGAUCCGUCAAUCCCUUCGGGGACGAAGCGGUGAAUUCAAGCCCCGGUAAACGGCGGUGGUAACUAUAACCAUCCUAAGGUAGCGAAAUUCCUUGUCGGGUAAGUUCCGACCUGCACGAAUGGCGUAA
rnacentral:rRNA from 1 species